rnacentral:lncRNA from 1 species
AGAAAAGUUAAAAUAAAAUAUUAUAAAAAAUAUGACAAAGCAUUUAAAAAAUAAGUACAAUAAAAAUAAGGUAAUCAAAGUACACGAGGCGGCACAUAAUAAUAGAAACCGAGGAACAAAAAACUACCAAAGUAAUACUACGAUUACUAAUGAAAAGAUAGGCGAGACCAUACUCUACUACCCAUGCACUAUCCUAACAUGUAUGCCCCACAACCUAGCUCAUAUAUAAGAUCAUGUCACUGUCAAGCUGAAACUGCAUCGUGUCAUGUCUAAUCAUCUCUCCUUCUUCAACUUACCUCUAUCAAUCCCGAAACCAUCCAUAUUCAGCUUUUCAACCUCUAGGCUAGAACAUCCAUACAUCUCCUCUUCACAGGAAGCUCUCUAUUGUCUCGAAUAUCUUCAUUUCUAAUCAUAUCUCUCAUAGUGUGUACGUAUACACAUUCAUCUCAACAUUCUCAUUUCCGUAAUUUUCAUCUUCUAAAAAUGAGUCCUUGAUUGACCAAUAUUCAAACCCAUACAACAAAAUUGAUCCCAUUCAUAUAGAACUUUCUUUUAACUUUUAGUGACACCUUCUUAUCACACAAGAUUACAGAUGUAAACCUUCAAUUCAUCCAUCCUGCAUCAAAUACAGAAUGUACCAGCAUUAUCAAUUUCCCCAUUUUCUUAAACAAUGAACCCAAGAUACAAUAUAUGGAUAUAAACAGUAAAGUAUUCAAUUAUGUUUUUUUUUCUCCCCGAAUCUUAAAAGAAUAAGUCGUACUUUACCCUAUAAAUCCUAUUUUUAGUACAAAGAACAAAAUGAUCAUAAAAAGUAAUCUCUACAUUACGAUUAUAAUUCCUACGAGUGACGGAUGUACAUGUAUUUCAGGGGUUCAUCCGAACCCUCUUCGUCGGAAAAUUAUACUAUUUUUACAUGGUAAAUUUUUUUUUUUAUGUAUAAAUAGUAGAGACUGAACCCCCACUAGUCCGUAUAUGUACUACUGAAACCCCUCACUGAAAAUCCUGGAUCCGCCCCU